rnacentral:rRNA from 1 species
CCACGUGGUGCGGAGUCGUAGCUUGCUACAUGACCUAUCGGCGGACGGGUGAGUAAUACUUAGGAAUCUGCCUAUUAGUGGGGGACAACGUUCCGAAAGGAGCGCUAAUACCGCAUACGCCCUACGGGGGAAAGCAGGGGAUCUUCGGACCUUGCGCUAAUAGAUGAGCCUAAGUCGGAUUAGCUAGUUGGUAGGGUAAAGGCCUACCAAGGCGACGAUCUGUAGCGGGUUUGAGAGGAUGAUCCGCCACACUGGGACUGAGACACGGCCCAGACUCCUACGGGAGGCAGCAGUGGGGAAUAUUGGACAAUGGGCGCAAGCCUGAUCCGCUGCCGCGGGUGAAAAGGCCUUAUGGUUGNAAA